rnacentral:misc_RNA from 1 species
CAAGAUAUAAACAUACAUUCCCAGAGUUAGGAAUAAAUUGUCACAUUAAUUUUAACACAUAAAAUAGCGAGAAAAAUUGGUCUCCAUGCCAAUUGAAACAUCAAAAGUGGUCUUAAAGUCACAGCUUGAUGAAGAAUCAUCAGCUAAAUAAAAUAAAUAGGCAACACUAUAAUUAUAAUAAUUAAACAGAAAUUAAUUGUCUACAAACUGGGAAAUUCAGUCAAAUUCUCCACUUGUUCAUUGCUGCUGGUUUUAAAAUUUCUCAAUUACGAUCAUCGUUUGAUAUCAUUCCCUUAAUAAGACCACCACCUUUCUGCUGCAGACCAAAUCCUUUGGCCUCUGAUCUCUUCAUGAUUCUUAGUCUCUUGCACGAUUCAAUAAACAUCUCCCAGGGAACGUCUCCUACUAGCAUCCAGUCUCCAUCCUUGUCUUCAUAUAUGGGAACGUAGUCGCUGCUGUCUGCAUCCUUCAACGCUUCCCCAAUGCCAUAACAGCCGAAUAACUUCUCCAAUGCAACGACGAGAUCUGAAUACGCCUUGUGCAUGCCCAAAUCAAUCUUGCGAAGAAAAGGAGCUCCAUCCAUGCUAACUUUGACGUACAUUUUCGAAGUUUCAAGCCCUUCUUUCUCAUUGAAACUAUUCUUUUUCCGAUAAGAGCAAAGCGGUGGCCACCCCACAACUAGACUUUUCGUUGGGAUAUUCAGGUCAUUGGUGGUGCUAUUAGCUUCGCGGGAUACCUCAGAGAAAACCCUUUUCUUCUCAUUUUUAUUAAUGUUAAGAACUUCACCGCCUGGUAGCCCCAACCUUAGCUCAGUGACGAUUUCAAGUCCAAGAUCUUUUGCCAUUUUGGGUGAUGGGUUACAGUUGAAAACUUUUUUCAAGAACUUGUUUUUGGAAUAUGUGAUAGCUAAUUUGCUAUGGUUCUGUGGUUGUUAU